rnacentral:lncRNA from 1 species
CGGAGCUGUUCCUAUUUGGCCAUCUUGGCUCCUCCCCCGACAAUUUCUAGAAAAAGUCAUAAGAUCAGCAAGAAGAGAAACUGUAGAUUUGCCUCAACUCAACAUGUUAAGUAAUCGCCUGACAUCUACAUAAGACCACCUCUUGGCACCUGGCUACACAAGCUGAAAUGGUUGUCUUUGGAAAAAGAAUAGACAUUCAUGGCAGACCAAAGAUCACUC